rnacentral:rRNA from 1 species
GACGAACGCUGGCGGCGUGCUUAACACAUGCAAGUCGAACGAAGAGCGAUGGAAGCUUGCUUCUAUCAAUCUUAGUGGCGAACGGGUGAGUAACGCGUAAUCAACCUGCCCUUCAGAGGGGGACAACAGUUGGAAACGACUGCUAAUACCGCAUACGAUCUAAUCUCGGCAUCGAGGAUAGAUGAAAGGUGGCCUCUACAUGUAAGCUAUCACUGAAGGAGGGGAUUGCGUCUGAUUAGCUAGUUGGAGGGGUAACGGCCCACCAAGGCGAUGAUCAGUAGCCGGUCUGAGAGGAUGAACGGCCACAUUGGGACUGAGACACGGCCCAGACUCCUACGGGAGGCAGCAGUGGGGAAUCUUCCGCAAUGGACGAAAGUCUGACGGAGCAACGCCGCGUGAGCGAUGACGGCCUUCGGGUUGUAAAGCUCUGUUAAUCGGGACGAAAGGCCUCCUUGCGAAUAGGGAGAAGGAUUGACGGUACCGGAAUAGAAAGCCACGGCUAACUACGUG